UACGUAGGGUGCAAGCGUUGUCCGGAAUUAUUGGGCGUAAAGAGCUCGUAGGCGGUUUGUCGCGUCGGCUGUGAAAUCCCGGAGCUCAACUCCGGGUCUGCAGUCGAUACGGGCGGACUUGAGUUCGGCAGGGGAGACUGGAAUUCCUGGUGUAGCGGUGAAAUGCGCAGAUAUCAGGAGGAACACCGGUGGCGAAGGCGGGUCUCUGGGCCGAUACUGACGCUGAGGAGCGAAAGCGUGGGGAGCAAACAGG
rnacentral:rRNA from 1 species